rnacentral:rRNA from 1 species
UGAAGUCUUAGUGGCGCAGCUAACGCACUAAGUAGACCGCCUGGGGAGUACGGCCGCAAGGUUAAAACUCAAAUGAAUUGACGGGGGCCCGCACAAGCGGUGGAGCAUGUGGUUUAAUUCGACGCAACGCGAAGAACCUUACCUGGCCUUGACGUGCAGAGAACUUUCCAGAGAUGGAUUGGUGCCUUCGGGAACUCUGACACAGGUGCUGCAUGGCCGUCGUCAGCUCGUGUCGUGAGAUGUUGGGUUAAGUCCCGUAACGAGCGCAACCCCUAUCCCUAGUUGCUAGCAGUUCGGCUGAGAACUCUAGGGAGACUGCCGGUGACAAACCGGAGGAAGGUGGGGAUGACGUCAGGUCAUCAUGGCCCUUACGGCCAGGGCUACACACGUGCUACAAUGGUGCGUACAGAGGGCUGCAAACCCGCGAGGGGGAGCUAAUCUCACAAAACGCAUCGUAGUCCGGAUCGGAGUCUGCAACUCGACUCCGUGAAGUCGGAAUCGCUAGUAAUCGCGAAUCAGAAUGUCGCGGUGAAUACGUUCCCGGGCCUUGUACACACCGCCCGUCACACCAUGGGAGUGGAUUGCACCAGAAGUGGUUAGUCUAACCUUCGGGAGGACGAU